rnacentral:rRNA from 1 species
GAUGAACGCUAGCGAUAGGCUUAACACAUGCAAGUCGAGGGGCAGCAUGAUCUUAGCUUGCUAAGGUCGAUGGCGACCGGCGCACGGGUGCGUAACGCGUAUGCAACUUGCCUUACAGAGGGGGAUAACCCGUUGAAAGACGGACUAAAACCGCAUACACUUGUAUUAUUGCAUGAUAUUACAAGGAAAUAUUUAUAGCUGUAAGAUAGGCAUGCGUCCCAUUAGCUGGUUGGUGAGGUAACGGCUCACCAAGGCGGCGAUGGGUAGGGGAACUGAGAGGUUUAUCCCCCACACUGGUACUGAGACACGGACCAGACUCCUACGGGAGGCAGCAGUGAGGAAUAUUGGUCAAUGGGCGAGAGCCUGAACCAGCCAAGUCGCGUGAAGGAAGACAGUCCUAAGGAUUGUAAACUUCUUUUAUACGGGAAUAACGGGCGAUACGAGUAUUGCAUUGAAUGUACCGUAAGAAUAAGCAUCGGCUAACUCCGUGCCAGCAGCCGCGGUAAUACGGAGGAUGCGAGCGUUAUCCGGAUUUAUUGGGUUUAAAGGGUGCGUAGGUUGUUCGGUAAGUCAGCGGUGAAACCUGAGCGCUCAACGUUCAGCCUGCCGUUGAAACUGCCGGGCUUGAGUUCAGUGGCGGCAGGCGGAAUUCGUGGUGUAGCGGUGAAAUGCAUAGAUAUCACGAGGAACUCCGAUUGCGAAGGCAGCUUGCCAUACUGCGACUGACACUGAAGCACGAAGGCGUGGGUAUCAAACAGG